GACGAACGCUGGCGGCGUGCCUAAUACAUGCAAGUUGAGCGCUGAAGGUUGGUACUUGUACCAACUGGAUGAGCAGCGAACGGGUGAGUAACGCGUGGGGAAUCUGCCUUUGAGCGGGGGACAACAUUUGGAAACGAAUGCUAAUACCGCAUAAAAACUUUAAACACAAGUUUUAAGUUUGAAAGAUGCAAUUGCAUCACUCAAAGAUGAUCCCGCGUUGUAUUAGCUAGUUGGUGAGGUAAAGGCUCACCAAGGCGAUGAUACAUAGCCGACCUGAGAGGGUGAACGGCCAAAUUGGGAGUGAGAAACGGCCCAAACUCCUACGGGAGGCAGCAGUAGGGAAUCUUCGGCAAUGGACGAAAGUCUGACCGAGCAACGCCGCGUGAGUGAAGAAGGUUUUCGGAUCGUAAAACUCUGUUGGUAGAGAAGAACGUUGGUGAGAGUGGAAAGCUCAUCAAGUGACGGUAACUACCCAGAAAGGGACGGCUAACUACGUG
rnacentral:rRNA from 1 species